UACGGAGGGUGCAAGCGUUAUCCGGAUUCACUGGGCUUAAAGGGUGUGUAGGCGGGCUGUUAAGUCAGUGGUGAAAUCUCCGGGCUCAACCCGGAAACUGCCAUUGAUACUAUCAGUCUUGAAUUCUGUUGAGGUGGGCGGAAUAUGUCACGUAGCGGUGAAAUGCAUAGAUAUGACAUAGAACACCAAUUGCGAAGGCAGCUCACUAAGCAGCGAUUGACGCUGAGGCACGAAAGCGUGGGGAUCAAACAGG
rnacentral:rRNA from 1 species